UAAUCUGGAUUUUCUUUAAUCCAGUAUUAAAGUUAAUACUUCGAACGGUAAGCACCAAACCGGUAACAAAUUUUAAGAACGCAGCCAUACUAAUGAUGUGUGCGUGAGACGAGGGCGGCAGUGCAAACUGGCCAGCUGAUUUUGUUUAUGUUUUGUCCAGGCAGAUUUUUUAUGAAGUGGUUUUAAUCGGUGCUCACAAUUUCUGUUUGAUUUGCGUAAUUUAAUAAUUGAUAUAGGUAUACAAGCAAGCGGAAUAUAACUAGGAUGGCAAGAUCCGAUCCUUUCCUACAGAGAUACUCUGUGCCGGCGAUUUUCGGAUUGCAUGACCUACGGAUGAAUUUACUUUUUUAUGGCGUAUCCAAAAGUAUAAUCAAAAGGAUGAUCAAUCGAGAAUCGGACUGCGGAUUCGCACACGGAUAUUUUUUAUGCGCUGACCACCUCUUCCGGCAGAAGCCCGAUAAAUUUGACGUCUGUCGUAACGCUGAUCGGCGAAAUCAAGGGCCCGUGAUGGUACUUAGUUUGACGAAUGAUUUUCAGCUGGGAAUUUCCAGUAGUGCUUCAACUCAGCAGCCGGUUUUAGAACAAUUCAUCGGUUCAUUACGAAUUGCAACUAAACAAAGAAAUGAUUAACGAAAUGAUCAAUAGUAGAAAUGUGUUGAUACUAUCAAAAUGAUCCAAAGAAAGUGAUUGAUAAAUUA